rnacentral:rRNA from 1 species
UACGGAGGGAGCAAGCGUUACUCGGAAUUACUGGGCGUAAAGGGCGCGUAGGCGGUCCGAUAAGUCCCGUGUGAAAUCCCCUCGGCUCAACUGAGGAAUGGCACGGGAAACUGACGGGCUUGAGUUCGGGAGAGGGAAGCGGAAUUCCGGGUGUAGCGGGUGAAAAUGCGCAGAUAUCAGGAGGAACACCGGUGGCGAAGGCGGUUCUCUGGGCCUUACCUGACACUGAGGAGCGAAAGCGUGGGGAGCGAACAGG